AGAGUUUGAUUCUGGCUCAGGAUGAACGCUAGCGACAGGCUUAACACAUGCAAGUCGAGGGGCAGCGUAAAAGUAGCAAUACUUGGUGGCGACCGGCGCACGGGUGAGUAACGCGUAUGCAACCUACCUAUCAGAGGGGAAUAACCCGGCGAAAGUCGGACUAAUACCGCAUAAAACAGGGGCACCGCAUGGUGAUAUUUGUUAAAGAAAUUCGCUGAUAGAUGGGCAUGCGUUCCAUUAGGUAGUUGGUGAGGUAACGGCUCACCAAGCCGACGAUGGAUAGGGAACUGAGAGGUUGGUCCCCCACACUGGUACUGAGACACGGACCAGACUCCUACGGGAGGCAGCAGUGAGGAAUAUUGGUCAAUGGGCGGGAGCCUGAACCAGCCAAGUCGCGUGAAGGAAGAAGGAUCUAUGGUUCGUAAACUUCUUUUGCAGGGGAAUAAAGUGCAGGACGUGUCCUGUUUUGUAUGUACCCUGAGAAUAAGGAUCGGCUAACUCCGUGCCAGCCGCGGC
rnacentral:rRNA from 1 species